rnacentral:rRNA from 1 species
AGCGAACGCUGGCGGCAGGCCUAACACAUGCAAGUCGAGCGCCCCGCAAGGGGAGCGGCAGACGGGAGAGUAACACGUGGAAACGUACCCUUUGGUUCGGAACAACCCAGGGAAACUUGGGCUGAUACCGGAUAAGCCCUCACGGGGAAAGAUUUAUCGCCGAAGGAUCGGCCCGCGUCUGAUUAGCUAGUUGGUGAGGUAACGGCUCACCAAGGCGACGAUCAGUAGCUGGUCUGAGAGGAUGAUCAGCCUCACUGGGACUGAGACACGGCCCAGACUCCUACGGGAGGCAGCAGUGGGGAAUAUUGGACAAUGGGCGCAAGCCUGAUCCAGCCAUGCCGCAUGGGUGAUGAAGGCCCUAGGGUUGUAAAGCCCUUUCGGCGGGGAAGAUAAUGACGGUAGUCGGAGAAGAAGCCCCGGCCAACUUCGUGCCAGCCGCCGCCGUAAUAC